UCAUCUUCGUGGCUUUCAAUUUUUCUUCUCUGACAAAGAUUUUUCUUUUUGUUUAGUAAAGAGAUGCAACAAAUUAUUUCUCUCACAAAAAAUGAUUUGAGUUUGGAGUGUGCAAUGGCGAUAACGAUGGAGACAUCGAUAUAGACGACGACGUAGACGACAGCGAAAAUGGAGACAACAACACAGACAACAUCGAUGACGGAAACAGCGACAUAGAUGAAGAUGGAAACGUAAACCACAUCAAUAUAGAUGAAAAGCAAACCCCAAGGCAUCUUCUCCUUCUUGCUCUGCUGUGAUCCUUUUUUGAUUUCAUAUUCUGCAUGUGACAAAAGAUCUCUCCG
rnacentral:lncRNA from 1 species